GUGGUGGACCACCCGGCUGCCGUUGGACUGUUGUUAUUGAUUUCCUGUUGCUGACUCAGCGCCUCUUCGCUCUUCCCAGAAACAGUUUGAGCAGAAACAAAGAAACAGAACCACUUCCUGUGGGAGCGUUUGCGGCGGUGUCGUCUGUCGGUUGAACCCCGGCGCCGCUCAUAUUGGGACGUGAACAGAGCACAGGCUCGUCCUGGCUGUCUUCAGAACCGGAUCGUGGACACGGCCUUUUGAUCUGCCUGCUCACCUCACUGCUCGCUCAAACCAGGAAGAAGCCUGAAAUAAACUGCGGUGACGUGCAGCACCGUAACACCGCGGCCCACAGUCCAGAUGGUGUGAGGGGCCUGGAUCUACAGCGGGUGAAAUUAUAGGUGAUGUCCACCUUAAAUAAGACGGGACGAGGAGACUCCCGGUGACUCAGCAGGUUAUGGUGCGUGUCGUGUACGUCAGCCGUCUCACACUUUGUUCUGUCCGCCCACUCGUCUAUUUAAAGCUCCGUCAUGUCUGAGAGCUACACAUGACCACAGCUUAGCUUAUUUAACCGACAGUAUGAACAUCCUCACUGGAACAUGAGAGAAAGUAAAGAAGUUAAAUCUUUAUUUUAUUCAGCAUUCAUUCCACAUUUUUAC